UCUAUUGCAGAUUACCCCGCCAUAGCAACUCCGAAUACCGAAGAGUGCAAUCACGGGAGACAGACAUCGGGUGCUAACGUCCGGUGUCAAGAGGGAAACAACCCAGACCGCCAGCUAAGGUCCCCAAAUAUGGCUAAGUGGGAAACGAAGUGGGAAGGCUAAAACAGUCAGGAGGUUGGCUUAGAAGCAGCCACCCUUUAAAGAAAGCGUAAUAGCUCACUGAUCGAGUCGUCCUGCGCGGAAGAUGUAACGGGGCUAAGCCAUAUACCGAAGCUGCGGAUGCGAGCUAGUCUCGCAUGGUAGGAGAGCGUUCCGUAAGCCUGCGAAGGUGCGUUGAAAAGCGUGCUGGAGGUAUCGGAAGUGCGAAUGCUGACAUGAGUAGCGAUAAAGGGGGUGAAAGGCCCCCUCGCCGUAAGCCCAAGGUUUCCUACGCAACGUUCAUCGGCGUAGGGUGAGUCGGCCCCUAAGGCGAGGCAGAAAUGCGUAGCUGAUGGGAAGCAGGUCAAUAUUCCUGCACCGUCGUUAGAUGCGAUGGGGGGACGGAUCGCGGAAGGUUGUCCGGGUGUUGGAAGUCCCGGUCGCUGCAUUGGAGAAGGCGCUUAGGCAAAUCCGGGCGCAGGAUUCAAGGGUGUGGCGCGAGCUCCUUCGGGAGCGAAGCAAUUGGAAGUGGUUCCAAGAAAAGCCUCUAAGCUUCAGUCUAACGAUGACCGUACCGCAAACCGACACAGGUGGGCGAGAUGAGUAUUCUAAGGCGCUUGAGAGAACUCGGGAGAAGGAACUCGGCAAAUUGGUACCGUAACUUCGGGAUAAGGUACGCCCUGGUAGCUUGACUGGCCUGCGCCAGAAGGGUGAAGGGGUUGCAAUAAACUGGUGGCUGCGACUGUUUAAUAAAAACACAGCACUCUGCAAACACGAAAGUGGACGUAUAGGGUGUGACGCCUGCCCGGUGCCGGAAGAUUAAAUGAUGGGGUGCAAGCUCUUGAUUGAAGUCCCGGUAAACGGCGGCCGUAACUAUAACGGUCCUAAGGUAGCGAAAUUCCUUGUCGGGUAAGUUCCGACCUGCACGAAUGGCGUAACGAUGGCCACACUGUCUCCUCCCGAGACUCAGCGAAGUUGAAGUGUUUGUGAUGAUGCAAUCUACCCGCGGCUAGACGGAAAGACCCCAUGAACCUUUACUGUAGCUUUGCAUUGGACUUUGAACCGAUCUGUGUAGGAUAGGUGGGAGGCUAUGAAACCGGAAUGCUAGUUUCGGUGGAGCCGUCCUUGAAAUACCACCCUGGUUUGUUUGAGGUUCUAACCUUGGCCCGUGAUCCGGGUCGGGGACAGUGCAUGGUAGGCAGUUUGACUGGGGCGGUCUCCUCCCAAAGCGUAACGGAGGAGUACGAAGGUACGCUAGGUACGGUCGGAAAUCGUGCUGAUAGUGCAAUGGCAUAAGCGUGCUUAACUGCGAGACCGACAAGUCGAGCAGGUGCGAAAGCAGGUCAUAGUGAUCCGGUGGUUCUGUAUGGAAGGGCCAUCGCUCAACGGAUAAAAGGUACUCUGGGGAUAACAGGCUGAUACCGCCCAAGAGUUCAUAUCGACGGCGGUGUUUGGCACCUCGAUGUCGGCUCAUCUCAUCCUGGGGCUGUAGCCGGUCCCAAGGGUAUGGCUGUUCGCCAUUUAAAGAGGUACGUGAGCUGGGUUUAAAACGUCGUGAGACAGUUUGGUCCCUAUCUGCCGUGGGCGUUGGAAGUUUGAAGGGGGCUGCUCCUAGUACGAGAGGACCGGAGUGGACGAACCUCUGGUGUACCGGUUGUGACGCCAGUCGCAUCGCCGGGUAGCUAUGUUCGGAAGAGAUAACCGCUGAAAGCAUCUAAGCGGGAAACUCGCCUUAAGAUGAGACUUCCCCGGGGACUUGAUCCCCUUGAAGGGUCGUUCGAGACCAGGACGUUGAUAGGUCGGGUGUGUAAGCGCAGUAAUGCGUUCAGCUAACCGAUACUAAUUGCCCGUACGGCUUGAUCCU
rnacentral:rRNA from 1 species